rnacentral:rRNA from 1 species
UACGUAGGGUGCGAGCGUUGUCCGGAAUUACUGGGCGUAAAGCGUGCGCAGGCGGUUGUGCAAGACAGAUGUGAAAUCCCCGGGCUCAACCUGGGAAUUGCAUUUGUGACUGCACGGCUAGAGUGUGUCAGAGGGGGGUAGAAUUCCACGUGUAGCAGUGAAAUGCGUAGAUAUGUGGAGGAAUACCGAUGGCGAAGGCAGCCCCCUGGGAUAACACUGACGCUCAUGCACGAAAGCGUGGGGAGCAAACAGG